rnacentral:rRNA from 1 species
CAGUCGCCGCGGUAAAACGGAGGGAGCUAGCGUUGUUCGGAAUUACUGGGCGUAAAGCGCACGUAGGCGGUUAUUCAAGUCAGAGGUGAAAGCCCAGUGCUCAACACUGGAACUGCCUUUGAAACUAGAUAACUUGAAUCCAGGAGAGGUGAGUGGAAUUCCGAGUGUAGAGGUGAGAUUCGUAGAUAUUCGGAAGAACACCAGUGGCGAAGGCGGCUCACUGGACUGGUAUUGACGCUGAGGUGCGAAAGCGUGGGGAGCAAACAGGAUUAGAUACCCCCGUAGUCCCUGUCUCUUAUAC